CUGGCAGUGUCUUUCUCCGUUGACAUUCAGCAACUCUGAGAUCAUUAGAGUAUUAUUGUAAUUGUUUAUGAUAAGCUUCACAGUUAGAUUGUAGCUUGAUAUAGGUAUUGUAAGAUCAAUGAAGCUAUGAUCGACUGCUGAUAUGGCCUAGAUGUGUUGAUCAAACCUUUUGUCCAAUGUAUGUUAGUUCAAUCAAUAUCCACGUUACCCGCAAUAUAGUCAGUUCUGUCAGUGAGGAGCAAGUGGAAACCAUUCUAUUCUUCUUAAGUCUUCAAGCCUUCAUGUGAAAAAUUCAGCUUUCCUAAAUGGUAUCGGCAUCGGUUAAUUUUUGAGACUGGAAACACAGAAAGACACAAGGAAAAAAGAUAACAGAUUGUUCCUUCUGGUUCCAUCCAACUCUUCCCUGACACAAUUGCACUAAAAACGAGGAGAUGUUGAUAAGUAGCAACCAGAUUUAUUAAAGGAAAUUGAAGUAUUAGAUUUUGGUGGAUCUGUUGUGUUAAUUUGAUUAGUGAUAGGACAAGCUAUGUCAGAUUCAAAGAAGUAAAAUGACGAGCGUGGGUGUUAUGUUUAUCACGCUAGCUGUCGGUGUUUGUUGGUUAGAAAGUGUGAAAGCCCAGAAGGACAGAUGUGUUUCUGCUUAUUAUGACAGACAGCAUGCCGUCUCUUUCUUUGGAGAUCAUUCUGAUUGGAAAUAUGGUUUUCGGGAGGAAAUAAAUGAAGAAAGUGGUUACAGUAAAUCUCCUAAUAAACAGUGUGUUCGUGUGAGGGAUCGUAAACUAGAGAAUGAUGAUUCUAAUAAAGAUAUACAUCAAGACAAUAAAGAUAACCUCAACAAAAACAACAUUCAACAACAAAAAACACCCACAACAAAAUAUAAAGGUUCUAAACGCAAGAGAAAGAGAGAAAAACAAAAGAAAUUGAGAAGAAAGAAAAAUAACAAUCAUGUUAAAAAAAUAAAAACCGGAUGAAAUGUAUACCCUGUGGUAUUAGUGUAUGUAAAGAAGUCCCUGUGAUAGUGCAAGUUUUUGUUAGGAGAACACAGUCAGCUUGUUUCUGUGGUGUGAAGAAGAUAAAUGAGAAUAAUACAUUCAAAGAACAGAUGAAACCUUUGAUAACAGAUGGCAGAAGAAGAUAUUAUUUAAACAUCCAAAAUGGUAGCUAAGUAUAUGAUUGAAGAUUAAAUAAAUUCAUAUUUUUGCUUAAUAAUUUUACAGUUUAUAUUUGAUGUCAAGUUUCAAAAUGCCAGUGUAUUAUGUAGGCUGUACAUAUAGACAUUAUCAUUAUUUUUAUCAUACACAUCUGCCAAAGAAUCUUAAGACUGCCAGAUAUAUAUUUAUGAGGAUAGUCCAGAAGUUACUAAAUAAAUCUUCUCAUGUAACUGUAAAUAUUAAAAAUGUUAUUAUUCUUGUAGAAUGAUCUAGUUCUUGUCUUCCAAAAUGUUGAGUUAGUUAUCUCCCCUUACUUGUUAUUUUGCAUUAUCUGCAAGAUUUGAUGAUUGAUGACCUCAUAAAGUCAUCAUUAAUUUGAUGGUAUAUAUGUAUAUCAUUUAUGAUAUUUGUAACCGAAGAAGUAAGGAUGAACUUUGGGAUCAACUGUAUUACAUUCUAUGAUCUAUCUGACUCUCAGCUAUUUAUGAUCUAAUUAUGAUCACCAAGGGUCGUGCUUUCAAUCAGUGACAUUAUAAUUCUAAUGUUCCUUUGUAAUAGUUAUUAUAUAUAGAAGAUUGGUACAUGUAUUUUUAUAGAAACAUGGGAUCAUUCUUGUUAGAAAGGAUUACAUAUUUUUUGACCAAAUUUUAAUAUGGUUUCAGUAGAUAAAAGCCUUAAUGAACAGUACCAUGCCAGCUGGUCUUUUUUAUUUGUUAAUGAAUUUAGCAAACAUAAGUUGAAUAUUUUGUAGUGAAAUAUACAUACUUUUAGCCUUUUAACAUUGCCAAAUUAUUAUUUGUAUAAAAAAAACUUUUAUUUGUAUAUUUUAAUUUUAUUUACUAUUAUUUCAUAGUUAUUAUUAUGACAAAGAUGCAGGUAUCCUAUAUUUGAUGAUGCUAAUGCUAGUAAGAUAAUUGUGUGCAAAAGGUAGUAUAUUAUAGUCCUUCUCAUACUAUUGUUUAUUCUAUGUAAUCAUCAAUAAGCACUAAAAAAAAAAGGAGGUUUUGUUUUUUAUUUUAAAAAAAGUAUAGGUAAAUUGAAUUUAUCUGUUACUUUAACUUACUUUUUAUAUUGAAUGUAAUUUUCCUUAUAUUUUGUGAAGGAAUCAUGUUAUACUGAGUGUGCUUACUCUUCCAUGAAUGCCACUUCACUAUUGGCUAUUAUAAUUAUUAGAUAAUUUCUCAUAUAGGAAGAACAUUUAGCUCUCUUUGCCCUUUGUUUUCAGGACACUAUGUCUUUGGUAUCACCUUUAGCAUCUAUUAUGUACAGUAUUUGUAUGUUAUGUUAUGAACGACAUAAAAAAAAAACCCAGCGGUUGCCAGGCAAGAUAUAGCCACAUUUUGCAAGAGAUGGAUUGAGAACAAGCUGAAAAAAAAUAAGCGAUUUUUCGUACAAUCAGAGGCCAUAAUCCAGACAGUUAUCGAAAUGGACUGAGAUAUUUGGGAUAUAGAGAUACAUUUUAAGUUUCAUCAAAAUCGGAUAAAAAUUGUGACUUCCAGAGAGUCCACAACCUUGGCAUUACAUAUUUUUACAAUAUUUGCGUAUGAGGUGCGGCCAUUUUGUCUGCGAAUUUUCAUGAUGUAACGGUGAUAUAUUCAAACGUUUUUUUAAAUUGGAGAAAAAAUUGUGACCUCUGAGGGACCACAAGCUAAAAAUGUGGGCGUAUAAAAAUUAUUAAAUGAAUACAAAAUUUUCAGUAGCACAAAACUGACACAGAAGAGUGGUAAGUGAUAUCAGGUGUUUCUAUAAGAGUAAGCAUACUAUGCCUCAUGCAUGAUACCUGUCACAUGAGACCAAAUUAUCUUAAAAUCUAAAAUUUUCACUGUUUAUAAUUCAAGGGGUAAGAGUAUUCAGAAAAAUAUAAUUUUUUAUUUAUUCAGUCUCCUUGUAGUCUUUUGAACUUAAAUUUUGUAAUAGAAUAUAUAGAUUUAAUAAGAAUUUUUCUACAGUAGAGUUGUCAUGUAGAUGAAAUUCGGAUAAAAGAGUAAAUUUGUACAAUAUAUAUUAUAAAUUCUAUAUUUAUUAUUCAAAAUAUAUUUUAUUAGCGCAAUGUCUUAGUGGUAUAGAAUAUUUGUUAUCCCAGCUAUAGUCUAGUGUUCUGUUCAGUUCCCAAAACGUAUGGGUGUUUUUGCAAUUGCAAUUUGGUUUCAAAAGUAAUAGGCUGAUUGGUUAUUCAAUAAACCAGUCUGGACCAAAAGAGGAUUCUUCUCCAGCACACACUAUAUAUUGGUCUGUUCAAAGAAAGCACUAAUAUGUAUAAUUUCAUAAUGUUAUUUAUUACAAAUUUCCAGAAAUGAUAAUUUUAUGAAAGGUCUUAGUAUUUUUACACACUAAACGGUUCAGCCUACACAUAAUCACCCCAUCAACAAUAAACCACAUGUUAGAAAACUCACGUUUUUUUUACCAUACGAGUCAUGAAAUGGAACUCUGGAUUUAACAAUUUGUUUUGUCUCUUAUAGGCUUACUUAAAUACAUGUAUAUUGUGAAAGCUGGUAUUACCCAAAACUACUGUUUUAGCUACUAGUCAGAAUAUUAACUUUAAAUUGUAAAAAAUCUCAUCACAAACAUCUUCAUAUACCGGUACAGGGAUUAAAGAUGAUUCUGAUGUUCCAUUCAAGGAAUGCAUGAUAAAAUGGUCAGUAAUAUUAUAAUUUUAUGUCCAAGGGAAGCCUACUACUGUUAUUUUUUUAUUUUGCUUGUUAUUGUUAUGCUUAUUUCUAUUAUGUGAUAUAUAAUAAAUGUUAUAGAUCUAUAAAAAAUAUUUAUUUUGUAAAAUCAUGUUAUAUGUACCGUGUCAUUGAUUAAAUAAAUGAUAUGUUGUUAGA